rnacentral:rRNA from 1 species
GACGAACGCUGGCGGCGUGCUUAACACAUGCAAGUCGAGCGGUAAGGCCCUUUCGGGGUACGACGAGCGGCGAACGGGUGAGUAACACGUGGGUGGACCUCGCCCUCCAGCUCUGGGAUAAGCCUGGGAAACCGGGUCUAAUACUGGAUAUGACUCCAUGACGCAUGUUGUGGGGUGGAAAGCCUUGUGCGGCUGAGGAUGGGCCCGCGGCCUAUCAGCUUGUUGGUGGGGUGAGGCCUACCAAGGCGACGACGGGUAGCCGGCCUGAGAGGGCGACCGGCCACACUGGGACUGAGACACGGCCCAGACUCCUACGGGAGGCAGCAGUGGGGAAUCUUGCGCAAUGGGCGAAAGCCUGACGCAGCGACGCCGCGUGAGGGAUGACGGCCUCGG